CUAGUACUCCCUCCAUUUGGAAUUACUUAUCGCGAAAAUGGAUGUAUCUAGACGUAUUUUAGUUCUAGAUACAUUCAUUUUCAAGACAAGUAAUUCCGAACGGAGGGAGUACUUG
rfam:Triticum aestivum genome assembly, contig: Triticum_aestivum_CS42_TGACv1_scaffold_224900_3B